rnacentral:lncRNA from 1 species
AGGUUUAUCUGUGUUUAUGUGGCCUAUUCUGAAACAGGUUCCAGUGGCCGUUGUGUAUGGUGUUUUUAUCUAUCUUGGAUUCUGUUCCCUAAGUUCACUGCAAUUCAUAAGUCGUUUAAAGAUUUUAUUUAUGCCGAGUAAAUAUCACCCCGACGUUAGCUAUGUCAGAAUGGUGAAGACAUGGAGAAUACAUUUGUUUACUAUCAUCCAGUUCCUUUGUUUGGUGGGAUUGUGGGUAGUGAAGAUGUCGAAAAUUGCCAUAGCGUUUCCGUUCUUUUUAAUGCUGCUUGUUCCUGUCCGACAUUUCCUGAAGAAGUUUGUUUACUCUGAACGAGAAAUUAAUGCGCUUGACAGUGAAGAAGAGGAGAAGGAAGAUGGCAAUUUUGAUGAGCAUUUUUGAUUCACUGUCAAAAAACAUUUGAUACAAAAAUCAUAUGUUAAGUUUGAAAGCAUGAUGAUAACCAUUUGUGCCUGACAUUGGGAGACUAUAGUCCCACAAUACAUUUGUACGUACAUACAUAUGUAUGCAGGGCCAGGUACAGGGUUUAAAGUUGGUGACCAAGGAUAGAGUUCAUGUUUUUUGACUAGAUUAGUAUAUUACUUGUGCCAAAAACUAUUGAUCUUUACUGCUUAAAAUCAGCUACAUAACACUGUACAAUACCUUACAGUCAGUGGUGACAUCAUCACCUUCAUUUGCACUGAAUUUUCCUAUCCCCGAUAUACUGUAGUGCCGAUUUUCGCGUAUCAUGUGCAAAAGAAGCUCAAAGCUGGGAUGAUUUUACUACAGUACAUUGCGAUGAAAUAUUUUUUCCCAACUGUUUUCAAGCUAAAGAAAUCAAGAAUUGAAUUGAAAAGAAAUUUUUGAUUUUAAAAUUGUUGAAAGGUUUAUUAAAUUGCGAUCUCCAGUACAAUCGGAAAAUUUAUAGUGAAGUUAUGACAAGGAAAGCGUGAAAAACCUCGGUUUUUACAGUCUGUGAGUUGAGGGGAUUCCAUAGAGGAUGCUGUAAAAGUGACGACAUACAUGCAUCAAAUUGUUUUUUGACAAUCCACAGAUUGCCACCGAUGAUCAGAAGGUGGUGAUGUGUCGUUAAGUGCUCCCAGAGAGAGGAAAAGAAUCUGUCAUACAACAAACUAUUAUAAUACGUAGUAGAUGAAUCCAUCAAUCAUUAUUAUCAAAUAUGAAAGUAGUUUAAAAAAUGCCAUCGUCAAUCCAAAAAAAAAAAAUACUUGACUACUUACAUGUGUGUCAAAUCUUGAUUAGGACAUACUGUAAACUGAGCUAGAAACUCUGUACCUCAAAAAAUAUGUGGUCAGAUAAAUAAAAACAGAUGGACCAAAUUCAUAACAUCAAAAACUGGACACGAGAAACUGAAAAAAGAUGAAAUUUCAAUCUAUUGUAUGAAAACUACAAGGGGAGAUGGUAUAAAGUUGAUGGUCUGACAUCUUUCUUUGAAGGAGAGGUGCUCUUUACUUUAGUCGUUCAUUUAACAACAUUUAAGAGGAGUAGGGCAUGAAGGGAUAAAGAGUUCUUUAAAUUGUGAAUUAAUAUUUAUACACCUGGAUUGAGAGAAAGAAACCAAAUUUAAAUUAAGUGUCUCUUGCCCAUAGCAUCUUGCAUGGCAAAGAUUGUGAACCCUAACCUCAAGGUUUUUCAUAGGCAGUUGGCAUCAUAUCAAAAUAGAGCAUGUACCGUAAUAAUAAUAAUACCUUUAAUAUAAAUAUUUAUUAUUCAGAGGCAAAGGCAUGAUUUAUUUUUAUAAAGUGGUAGACAUAACAAAGCGAUUUGUAACUUCAUGUCCACUUCAUUUUAUGACAAUGGGGACCGAAGUGAACCACAGAAUCGAGGUAAUCCCCCACUCUUCUCAAAGAUGCAAUGGAGUAGAGAUGUAGCUUGGUGGUUAAGGUGCCUGCCUUCCAAUCCCAGGGUCCUGGGGUCAAAUCCUGUGAUGGCACAGGUUUUUUUUUUUGGUUUUUUUUUACAAUACGCUGGAAAGGUCACCUUAAAAAAUAUGGCUUAACAAGAAGAAAAUUAAUUCUUUAAAGUUCAUAUAUGUCAAAUGUGUACGCUGGACCUCAAUUUGAAGUCAUUAUACGAGAAGACUUUGUAGAUACAUAUGGUAUGUAUAGUGUCUGCAGAAAGCUUGGGUUUAAAACCAAGAUGGGGAAAAGUUUUUCUUCUUGCAGAUCUUUCUUUUUCAAUGAUCUCAGAUUAAAGAUGGAUACUAUAUGUAUUCAUCUUACUUUUUCUCUAACUUUAAUUAUAAAAUCUACUCUGUUCGUUUAUGUUUACAAAACAUUUUACCUUAAUGUAAUAUAAUAAAUAUAUAUGUAUAUCUUUAUCUUUGUAUAAGUUUAUUUACCUAUAUAUUCAAGUUAAGAGAAUGUUGGUUAUUAAACACCAAGCAAUAUUAUGUUCAAUAAUCUGCAUAGAGUGAUAACAAACUAAUAUAUUACUGUUUAGUUUUAUGUGAAUACAUCAAGAAGUGUAACAAAAGGAAUGCAUGCAUGGGUAAUUAAUCUACGAUAAGUACCGUAUUUAUUCGCAUAAAUGCCACAUGGUGUUUAUAUUUGUUGAGAAAGGUUUUUGAGGGAGCGUUUAUUGGAGGAGUAAUUUUUUGGAGGCAGUCAUUAAUUUGUUUUGAGGGUGGCAUUUAUUUAUUUAUUUAUUUUGGGUGUAAAAUGGAUACGUAUAUACUCAAAUAAAUGCCCCUAAAUUUCACUGUAAGAUGUGGAACUACAACAUACUGUAUAAUUACCAUCAAAGUGUCUUAUUGCUGGACAUAAACACUUAAGGAUUCUAACCCGGUUAGAAAAAUUGUAAUUCUACUGGAGUAGAUCAUUAAUAGAAUGUGUUGAGAAUGAUGCUUCUAUUACAUUGUUUGGGAUGGGGGGAGGGUGUUUAUUCGAGAAAGAAAUAAAUGCCUCCAAACUUUUAUUCAAGGAGGAAUUUAUACCAAAUGAGGCUCUAGAGGGGAAUUUAUUCAAGGUGGGAGGGUGUUUAUUCAAAGCGGGCAUUUAUUUGAAUAAAUACGGUAUGUAUUUGAGUGAAUUUAAAAGUAUUAAUUAGAUUGAGCAUGAUUAAUGUAUUUCAGUCCAUACAGAAAUUUAUUCAUAGAUGAAUUGUUCGAAAUAUAUUUCUAUUAUAAAAACAAACAACUUUUUCUGAAAUAUGUAUGCAAUAUUUAGAAUUGUAAUACUCUAUUUAUCAUGACUACUUCAUGAAUUUAUCCAAACCUUAGGGGUAUAUCCAUGUUUUCAUAUUUUUUACGAAACAUGCUAGUUGGGAGGGGGGUCAACAUUGUAUGUACUCGUUUGUGAAGAUGAUCUCAAAAUGACAAAUCCAUUUUUAUUAAGUAUUCUUUUAGGGGAAGGGUAUUUUUAAAAAGGAUGAAAAAAUGGAUCACCCCUUAUUCUGAUUAAUAAUUAAGAUAUUUUGAAAAGGUUGGUUUGUGAUCUUGUGGUAUCUAUAUUUGUUUCCUCCAGUGGCCUGUUAAUAGCAAUAAGAGAGGAAAAUGGAAUAAACUCAUUGAAAAACUGUGA